AUAAAAGGAAACCUGGUCUCAGGGAAAAGAAAAAGUACUACUUGGUCAGUGGAAGAAAUAAAAAUCCAAAUAACUAUACUCAAUAUUAACAGCCUCAUGCGCAUUCUUUUAUACUCUUCUCUAUGUCUCCUUGUCCAUAUAAGCGUUUUAUAAUAUUGCUUUUAAUGAGUUAGUGUGAAUUCUGGCUGGAGAGGUCUUAGAAGGAGCAUUUGAGCUGGACAAUGAAGGAUGAGUAAGAGUUCAGCAAGUGGGGAAGUGGCCACAGGGCAUUCUUUGUCAACGGGUACAGGGAGAGCAAAGUCAUGGAGGAUUGGCAGCAUCUGGUGAGUUUAGGUGCUGUUUGUCACUUUGUCAACUUUGUAUGACUAGAACACAGAGUUUUUGGUACAGAGGGCACAAAUGGAGUUGGAAAGGUUGGAUGGACCAUUGUUUAAAGACUCUAUACAUCAGGCUAAGGGAUUCAGAUUUGACUUGGCAGGUAAUGGUGGUCCAGCAAAGCUUUUUAAUCAAGGCAAUAUUUUUAAAUCAGGUCUGUAUUUUGUAAAUAUCUUGAUGGUAACAUUAUGAUAUGUUAUGACAUGGAUUGAAGGAGGAAAGGGAUAGAAAGAAAACAGACAAAUUAGCUAUUGUAAAUGCUCUUUUCUAGCUCUCUAAUGUCGGAAAUCUAUACACAUGCUGAUGUCAUUCCUUAGCUUCUUAGCAGAUGACAUGUUCAAUCUACUCUUAAAUCUAACCAUUUACUUUUUAAAAAUAUUUAAAUAUUGUAAAAAUACUAUUUUAAUAUAUUGUCCUUUUCAUAAACAGGCCCUUCAUACAAAUAAUGCCAUCUUAUAAUGGAGCCUUAUUUUCUAUUAUUAUUUUCUCUUGCAAAUAUCCAUUUCAGCCCAGGUGGUAAAUAAUGAGGAAACAGGGAAAUAAGAGAUUGAAAGUGACCAAGAUAAUUCUACCAUAGGUAGCGGCUUAUCAGGAAAAAGUAGUUUGCCAUAUUAUAAGAAAAGGAAGUGAAAGCAGCAAGGAAGCCUGGCAUGGGGUUUGAGAGGUAGACUCCACUUACCUUAGUGAACUAUUUUGGGGAUUGAGAUGGAAAAUAAGUGUGUUUUGUUGGCUCUGAGGUGCUAAACAUAGAAAUGGAAUUAGUAUUUUAUAGGCGGGGGUAGUCUUAGAAGUCAAAGACAAGUAAAUUCAACAUAUUUCUUUACCAGAGCAAGAUUCCAUUUGUAUAUAAGUAAAUAUACAUAUAUGUGUUCAUACAUACUCUUGACCCAAAGGAAAUACACUAAAAUAUUACCUCACAAUGGGAGCCAAAGAAGGGGUAGGAUUUUAAGGAUAUGCCUGUGUGUAGUAACGUAGGAAAUAUUGGGAAACACUUGAGAAGAAUAGAAGUCACAGUAAUACUAGGGCCCAGGAAUAGAUAACCUAGAGCAGAGGCAAUAUCUAGGCUUUUGAAUUAAAUACAGAUUUUACCAUAGUUAUGAAUAUUUGUUUCAUCUGUCUUAUAAAAAAUUAGAUUGUCAACAGGUAAAGCUAAAACCCUCUCUGAAGAUCAGUUCCAGCCCUUUCUUCCCUCACCACAGAUAGAUACUCUCAUCAGUCUGGCAUGUAUCUUUCUGAGAAUAAGUUGGUGGGGAGGAAACUGUCCAUUUAUAGAAAGAGUUGGAAAUGAGAGCCAAGCUCAAGACUGGUGAGAAUCAUUAUGAUUCUAUAGAAAGCAAAGACUUUACACAGAGACUGUUUUAUAUUCUUUUAUGGCCACAAGAGGAGACAGAGGAGAGCCUCAGGGGAAAAAAAAAAAAAAAGGUGUAUUAAACUUACACGUCCUAGAGACAGGAGGCACAGCAGGCCACUCAGGGUCAUGCAGGAAAGAAGACACCAGGGUGGUCAGGAGGCAGAAGACAGAAGAAAGGGAAGGUUUAGGCCACUGCCUUUUGAGGGAUUUUCUUGGGAAAUGCAAGGCAAGGCAGGGUGAACAGUUUAGGAUUGGCUAGUUUGAAUAAUUUGCGUGGGUUGGCUGGCUCCUGGCCCUGGCAUGACUAAGGCAGAGGAAUAUCCCCUCCUGGGAUAUUCCGCUGGGGUGUAUAGGUCGGAUGGAUGAGGUGUGGCACUGGACAGGUUCAUCGGUAUGUGAAAAGGCAUACUCCAGCCUGGGCGCUUUCUUUUCUUUCAGAAUUAACAAGCCACAGGAGAGGCAGACUCUCGGUAACCAGAAAAGCUUUUUAAGAUGUCGAGAACAUCAUAAUAUGUAUAAAGAAAAAUUUUAAAUAUUUACAAUACAGAGACUUUACAUUUAACUUGAAAAGGUAUCUGACACCUAUGUAAUUGACAGAGAUGAGGCAUGAGCUUGUUUCAUUGCUUGUUAGGGUGAUUAUAUCCAAGGUCGAUUAUCCUUAAGUGCACUGUGUCUAGUUUCUACUUUUAAUGGAAAGCUUUUCAAAUUACAUCUUGUGAGAGACUGAGUGUUUAUGUUAUACCAUCUGUCAUUUCUCAGGAAGUAAAAAAGGAAAAGCCACCCAUUCUGUCUCUUUCAUAGAACCUUUGCCCCAGGCUAUUAAUAACAGAGGGUUCUCCUAUAAGUGAAUAGCAAAAGAAAAAUCACAGAUGCUUCAUGUUUAAGCAAAUACUUGUUAUUUCUUGGGAAAUGUGCCCAGUCAAAACCAAUCUCCAGGCCAGAAAAUUAAAAUUUAUGGUCCAGAUAAAUGAAAUCAAUGACUAGUGUUCAAAAAUAACCCAUGAAGAGUUCAAUGUUGAAGGGAUUUUCAACAUCUUGUGGUUGAGAAAAUAAGUAGGUCACACAGACAAAAAAAGAAAAAAAUCGAUUAGGCCAUAGCUCCUAAUAAAUGUGCUAUAAUGUAACUAUGCAAUAUUAACUGCCAAAAUGUUUUAACUGGUCUAGAUAUUUAAGGCUUGAAGUCUGUGGAUGUUUCAAACCCACCCACGCCAAUCCUAGAAAAGGAAAACAAGUUGUUAGAGUAGAAAAGAAACCAAUAUGUUAAGGGGUUAGUAAAAAAAAACCAAUUAUAUCUAAUACCAACUAUCUAAUUUAUUCAUAAGCUUAUGUAUGUUCAUAUUUCAUAUUUGUACUUGUCUUUAUUCAAAUUCUAUUUUCAGAGUCUAAAAGCUGUUAGGAGUUUGUUUUCUUUUGGCAUUUGCCAAGGUCUCAUUAUUUUCUGAGGCAGUCCUACUGGCACAACUCAGAGGAAGUAUUAAUACAUAAAAAUGUCCCAUGUGCUAAGCCUCUAAGCAUAUUUGCUAUUUUCAGACUUUAGUAACGGCAAAUAUAUGUCGUGCUUCUAUUUAAGCCAAAAUGAAGGCUAAUUAUUAACAACUGAAGAAUGAGCUACUACGAUAUGCAAAACUCCCUGUACUUAGAGUCUGCAGGUGCCUAAUUCUACAAAUAAUAUUGUAGAAAAAUAAUAUUCUACAAUAAUAUUCUGAGUUUCCAUAAAGAAUACAUAUGUUUCAUCUAUACUGUGACUGAUUCAGUCUUAAGAACUCACACUGUUUGGUAAACAAUUCUGUCAUAAUUAUCAAUAAUUAUAAGUGGAUGUGGUAUAAUAAAGAGAUGACUAAAUGUGGCACUUCAGCUGUUGAAUGUGAAGGGCAUGAUGAAAGUGUGGAAUGACAGGUAAAAGAGAGAUUCCCUCACCUUCCAGCUCUUCAAACUAUCCUUGAAUGAUACCUCCUAAAGGAUCAUCAAAUAGUGAUGGGCUAACAAAAGCCAGUGUCACCAACCUGAUGUUCAAUAUUAAAACGACACAUAUAUUGCUCAUCUACUAUAAGGCAUGGUAGGUAUCUUUCAUGAUCUGCCUUCUCCACAGAUAUAUGAGUAACUACAGGGAUGGGCUGGCCAUAUUUGGUCCUGUUUACCUGUUGCUCACGGGCAUAGAUUGCUGGUUGUUGUUGCUGUUGUGGUAUUGUUGUUGUUCAUGUUUUCAUGCUUUACUAGGCUUUGAAGUCAGAUAGCUGUUCCUACUUCAGGCUUCACCUUGAAUAUGUUAGUGAAACCCUCUAAAUCUCAGUCUCCUCAACUAUACAAUGGGAAUAAGAAGAACAUUUAUUUCAUAGGGCUAUUAUAAAGAAUAAAUAAGAUAAUGUAUGUGAAGUUCUUGCACAGUACCUGGUACCUAAAACAUGCAAUAAAUGUUAGGCAUUACUGAAGUCAUUAUAAUGAGUAUCAUCAUCCUCAUAUUUUUCUUAUUACUCUUAAAAAUGUAUCAAUUCCUUUUAUUAAGCAGUAUGAUUUUUCUAUUUUGUCCUCACAAGAGUAAGUCCUAAUAUCUGGGGAGUUGGUUUGAGGUCUUUGAAAUUACUACAUCUCUGCCACAGUUCUUUAGUUUAGAAAUAAAACACUUAUUAAAAAAAAAUUUCUCCUAAGAUUUAAAUGACAUUGAUGGUUCUAAACUUUAUUGUUUUAUGGCCAUUUUUAAAUAGUUUUUUAGAUUUUUAAACUUACUAAAUAUGAAUGUGAUAGUUCCUGAGAAUGGAGAGUGAUUUUAAAAGGAUAAACCAUUAAAAAAAAAAAAAAAAAA